CUGGAUAACGCAGUCAGUAAACAGAAAAGGCUGGAAGAGGCUUCUCAGCACCCCAGAGGCACCUGACAGUAUGUGGUGCAGCAGCAACACCAGCUGGUCACACAGGCUUGCUCCAGAAGGUCCCUCCCACCACCGUUCCUACUCCACACUGACAGAGGGAAAGCAUCAGCUUCUCAGACUAUAGACUCACCAAGAGCUCAAAUGCUCCUUCAGUAAAAUGCUGAGCCUCCAGCCUUCAUGUUUUCCAGCUGAGGUCCCAGACAUCUUGGAGGAAACAAGCCAUCUAUGCUCUAUUUGAAUUCCUGGCCCACAGAAAAUGUGACACGUAAUAAAUGAUUAUUGUUGUUUUAAGCAACAGUGUUUGGGGGUAACUUGCUGUGUAGCAAUAAAUAAGUAAUAUAUACAAUAAUACCCCAGUAUAGUAUCUGAAAACAGGUGAUCAAUA